CUCCGUGCUCCUGAGCCGUUUUCGAUGAUGGAAUUUUUGAAUCGACGAUCGGCUCCGUUAGAGUUGAUCUAGCGUAUUUGAAGAUUCUAGAAAAUAAUUUUUGCGAUUUUUUGAUAUCAUUUAUCUAGUGAUCGAAAGGAUUCAAAAUCAAUAAUUUUUAAUGGUUGAUAUCUGCCGUUUUCAAGUUUAACGGUGUAGAAGUAUUCAAAUCAGAUGAAAUUUUGAUACAAAAUUUUUUAUACUAUCUAUAACAAGAUCAAUAUUUCUGAUCGAAAAUUUUACUGCUAUAUCACCACUUUUUAUAGAAUUUUUAUUUUCAGCCGUUAAAAAUGAUUGAUUUUGAAUCCUUUCGAUUGCUAAGUAAAUGAUAUCGAAAAAUCGCAAAAAUUAUUUUCUAGAAACUUCAAAUAUGCUAGAUCAAGUCUAACGGAGCCGAUCGUCGAUUUGGAAAUUCCAUCAUCGAAAACGGCUCAGGAGCACGGAGGCCAGCACAGCAGUCUUGCUCUAUAAAUAUAUAUAAAAUUUAUUCGGGUUCACGUUAGGUUCGGAUUUGGAUUGCGUACGGACAAAGUCCAUAUCCGAAUUCGAAUCAAUCAAAAUUUCAUUCUUUGUACUUGUAUUCAAAAUUAUAUUUAUUUAGUAUCAAGCAAAUCUAUUUAUUUCUUCAUAUUCGAAUACAGAUAAAAUUUUGAAUAUUUGUG
rnacentral:lncRNA from 1 species